UCCCUUGUGGCGCAAUUGGCUAGCGCGUUAGACUGUUAAUCUAAAGGUUGGUGGUUCGAGCCCACCCAAGGGAG
rnacentral:tRNA from 1 species